GGAUGUGAGGGCGAUCUGGCUGCGACAUCUGUCACCCCAUUGAUUGCCAGGGUUGAUUCAGCUGAUCUGGCUGGCGAGGCGGGUGCCCCCUUCCUCCCUCACCGCUCCAUGUGCGUCCCUCCCAAAGCUGCACGCUCAGUCGAAGAGGACGGCCUUCCCUGAAUAGAGACGGACCGGUCUUAGGUCAAGGGUAUACGAGUAGCUGCGCUCCCCUGCUAGAACCUCCAAACAAGCUCUCAAUGCACAAGAACACAGGUUUGAGUCCCUGCUCCCUACCUGUAGGGGGUA
rnacentral:snRNA from 1 species